CCUACGGGAGGCAGCAGUGGGGAAUAUUGCACAAUGGGCGCAAGCCUGAUGCAGCAAUGCCGCGUGUGUGAAGAAGGCCUUAGGGUUGUAAAGCUCUUUCAGACGGUGAGGAAAGGUUAAGGUUUAAUAGAUUUUAAUCAUGACGUUAACGUCAGAAGAAGCCCCGGCUAACUCCGUGCCAGCAGCCGCGGUAAU
rnacentral:rRNA from 1 species